GGGGUUGUGGCUCAGUGGUAGAGCGCUUGCCUGGCUCGUGCAAGCCUCUGGGUUCGAUCCUCAGCACCA
rnacentral:tRNA from 1 species